ACACUGACGUCGCGACGCAUAUCAAUAAGCGGAGGAAAAGAAACUAACAAGGAUUCCCUUAGUAACGGCGAGUGAAGCGGGAAGAGCUCAAAUUUGAAAUCUUCAAGGUUCUACCUUGACGAAUUGUAGUUUAAAGAAGUGUUUUCUGUUAGAUGAGUAGCAAAAGUUCCUUGGAAUAGGGACAUCAUAGAGGGUGAGAAUCCCGUAUUUGGUCACUUCAUUCUAGCUUUGUGAUACACUUUCAAAGAGUCGGAUUGUUUGGGAAUGCAGUCCAAAAUGGGUGGUAAAUUUCAUCUAAAGCUAAAUAUUGGCGAGAGACCGAUAGCGAACAAGUACCGUGAGGGAAAGAUGAAAAGAACUUUGAAAAGAGAGUUAAACAGUACGUGAAAUUGUCAAAAGGGAAGCGUUUGACACCAGUGUUGUUUUUCCGAAAAUCAAUUACGAAUGGCUUGAUUUUGUGUUGUAUUGACCUUAUCAGCUUUCUUCACUUUUUUCGAGUCUUUCUUAAUGCACUUUUCGGUUAACAAGUCAACAUCAAUUUCUUUUGUUGUAAAAGAGUAUUCGGAAGGUGGCUUUCUUUUCGGAGAAAGUGUUUAUAGCCCUAUACUUCUACAAUCGGAGAGAUUGAGGUCUGCAGCGUAGAUCCUUCGGGGUUAGAUACACUUGUGCUAAGUUAUAGCUUUUCAUAGACAACUUGUUGACUAUGUUUAGUCUUGUAGCUUACUCGCUUGUGCUAUUUUACCUACGCUUAGGAUGUUGAGUCGUAGAGCACGCAG
rnacentral:rRNA from 1 species